GAUGAACGCUAGCGGCAGGCUUAACACAUGCAAGUCGAGGGGUAUAGUUCUUCGGAGCUAGAGACCGGCGCACGGGUGCGUAACGCGUAUGCAAUCUACCUUUUACAGAGGGAUAGCCCAGAGAAAUUUGGAUUAAUACCUCAUAGUAUGUGAGAAUCGCAUGGUUUUCACAUUAAAGUCACAACGGUAAAAGAUGAGCAUGCGUCCCAUUAGCUUGUUGGUAAGGUAACGGCUUACCAAGGCAACGAUGGGUAGGGGUCCUGAGAGGGAGAUCCCCCACACUGGUACUGAGACACGGACCAGACUCCUACGGGAGGCAGCAGUGAGGAAUAUUGGACAAUGGGCGCAAGCCUGAUCCAGCCAUGCCGCGUGCAGGAUGACGGUCCUAUGGAUUGUAAACUGCUUUUGACAGGAAGAAACACUCCCUCGUGAGGGAGCUUGACGGUACUGUAAGAAUAAGGAUCGGCUAACUCCGUGCCAGCA
rnacentral:rRNA from 1 species